rnacentral:lncRNA from 1 species
ACAGAACUUGGGUCCCCUGUGGAUUUUGAGAGUCCUUCGGAACCGCCCCGACCCCCUGGGGGGGGCGGGGGCGAGAGGCUCCCGCAGACCUCCUGUCUCUGUUUUCCCCCUCAGAGCGGCAAUGCUAACAAGAACAAUGAUCAGCUGGGUGAGGUUAAGGACCGUGCAGCCCUGCACUCCUCUUCCUCAUCCUGUGAGAACACCCUGGACCAGGAGAGCUCUGCCGAGGCCAGCCUCUCCUCCCUGGCGUCCUCUCUGAGCAGCUGGACUCCGUGUGACGGCAGGGAGCCCUCGCUGAGCGAGAAGUCCGGCACCCCAUCGAUAAAGUCCGACACUCUGGUUUCCUUGGAAACGUUCUCCCCCAUCCGCAAUGCUUCUGCCUUGUCCCGCGUAGCCCCUGACAUGACCCUGAGGGACCUUGUCGUGAAUGUGAGCCCCCCGCUGCCGGCAGAGGGAGCCCCGCUCCAAGGUGCUUCGAGAUCGACGCCCCACGAAGUGAAUGGAGAAGUGGGUGGGGCUCUAGUGUACAGGGAAGGGAUGGACCUCCUGUCACCCCAGUUGAGCAGCGGC